rnacentral:rRNA from 1 species
CGGGUGAGUAACGCGUGAGGAACCUGCCUCAAAGAGGGGGACAACAGUUGGAAACGACUGCUAAUACCGCAUAAGCCCACGGCUCGGCAUCGAGCAGAGGGAAAAGGAGCAAUCCGCUUUGAGAUGGCCUCGCGUCCGAUUAGCUAGUUGGUGAGGUAACGGCCCACCAAGGCGACGAUCGGUAGCCGGACUGAGAGGUUGAACGGCCACAUUGGGACUGGGACACGGCCCAG